rfam:Hordeum vulgare subsp. vulgare, WGS project CAJW01000000 data, contig: morex_contig_136356
UAAAUACUCCAUCCGUCCCAAAAAAUUUGUCUUAAAUUUGUUUAGAUACGAAUGUAUCUAGUCACAUUUUAGCAUUUAGAUACAUUCAUUUAUAGACAAACCUAAGACAAGAAUUUUAGGAUGGAGGGAGUAUAAG